rnacentral:rRNA from 1 species
AGAGUUUGAUCCUGGCUCAGAUUGAACGCUGGCGGAAUGCUUUACACAUGCAAGUCGAACGGCAGCACGGGUGCUUGCACCUGGUGGCGAGUGGCGAACGGGUGAGUAACACAUAGGAACAUGCCCAGUAAUGGGGGAUAACGCCGAGAAAUCGGUGCUAAUACCGCAUACGCCCUACGGGGGAAAGCGGGGGAUCUUCGGACCUCGCGUUAUUGGAUUGGCCUAUGUCUGAUUAGCUAGUUGGUGAGGUAAAGGCUCACCAAGGCGACGAUCAGUAGCUGGUCUGAGAGGAUGAUCAGCCACACUGGAACUGAGACACGGUCCAGACUCCUACGGGAGGCAGCAGUGGGGAAUUUUGGACAAUGGGCGAAAGCCUGAUCCAGCCAUUCCGCGUGAGUGAAGAAGGCCUUCGGGUUGUAAAGCUCUUUCGGCAGGAACGAAAUGGUUGCGGUUAAUAACUGUGACUUCU